rnacentral:rRNA from 1 species
UGGGGAAUAUUGCACAAUGGAGGGAACUCUGAUGCAGCGAGGCCGCGUGAACGAAGAAGGCUUUCGAGUCGUAAAGUUCUUUUAUAUGGGAAGAUAAUGACGGUACCAUAAGAAAAAGCCCCGGCUAACUACGUGCCAGCAGCCGCGGUAAUACGUAGGGGGCUAGCGUUGUCCGGAAUCACUGGGCGUAAAGGGUUCGCAGGCGGAAAUGCAAGUCAGGUGUAAAAGGCAGUAGCUUAACUACUGUAAGCAUUUGAAACUGCAUAUCUUGAGAAGAGUAGAGGUAAGUGGAAUUUUUAGUGUAGCGGUGAAAUGCGUAGAUAUUAAAAAGAAUACCGGUGGCGAAGGCGACUUACUGGGCUCAUUCUGACGCUGAGGAACGAAAGCGUGGGUAGCAAACAGG